rnacentral:rRNA from 1 species
UACGUAGGGGGCAAGCGUUGUUCGGAUUCAUUGGGCGUAAAGGGUGCGUAGGCGGUCGCGCAAGUCGGAUGUGAAAUCUCAGGGCUCAACCCUGAAACUGCAUUCGAUACUGCGUGGCUAGAGUGCUGGAGAGGAGACUGGAAUUUACGGUGUAGCAGUGAAAUGCGUAGAUAUCGUAAGGAAGACCAGUGGCGAAGGCGAGUCUCUGGACAGCAACUGACGCUGAGGCACGAAGGCCAGGGGAGCAAACGGG